AUUUUUUGUCACUUUCUACUUUACAUAUUUAGCCACAUUUCCCUCUCCUUUCGAACAAUUUCAACAAAAUGGAUGCGAAAAUCGGAAAAUUCUUCGAUUCAAUCGGCGAUUUCUUCACCGGCGGAGAUCAAAUUCCUUGGUGCGACUCUGAUAUAGUCGCUGGUUGUGAACGUGAAGUUGCUGAGGCUGAAAAAGGUUCAUCUGAUGACCUUAAAAGUGAAUGCAUUAUGCGUUUAUCUUGGGCUCUUGUUCACUCAAGAAGGCCUGAAGAUAUACAGCGUGGGAUAGCAAUGCUUGAAGCUUCUUUGGGUGGCAGUAGCAGUCCCUUGCAAAUGAGGGAAAAGCUUUAUCUUCUGGCUGUUGGUUACUAUAGAAGCGGGGACUUUCCAAGAAGCAGGCAGCUUGUUGAUCGUUGUUUGGAGAUUGCGCCGGAUUGGAGGCAGGCCUUGACCCUCAAGAAAACAAUUGAAGAGAAAAUUACCAAAGAUGGAGUUAUUGGCAUCGGCAUUGCUGCUACUGCUGUUGGAGUUUUGGUUGGUGGAAUUGCAGCUGCUUUAGCCCGCAAGGGUUGAACUUGUCAUAUAAACACAACUAGUGUGCAUAUUGAACUCAACUCUUCCCUUUCUGUUAUCUCUUCUGAAAAGCACAUGAAUUCGUAUUUGUGAGUGCAGAAGUUUUGAUACUUUUCCUUUGAAUUGGUAGAAGAAAACAAUGGCAUGUACAACUGAAUCAAGAUUCUUGAUUUCAUUUUCUAAUUUUAUAUAA
rnacentral:misc_RNA from 1 species